UAUCACCUUCAUAUCUGAUACACCCUCUAUCCAAGGGCCAUACAUUAAAUGGAGUUUUGGAAUCAGGAGAUGAAAUAGGGGCUUGCUCCGUUCACUCCAUGCAUCAACCUGGCAUUGGUACUUCCAGGAACGAUGC
rnacentral:snRNA from 1 species